UGUCGUGGCGAUAGCGAAGAGGUCACACCCGUCCCAUACCGAACACGGAAGUUAAGUUCUUUAGCGCCAAUGGUAGUUGGGACUUUGUCCCUGUGAGAGUAGGACGUUGCCAGGC
rnacentral:rRNA from 1 species